rnacentral:rRNA from 1 species
UACGUAGGGUGCGAGCGUUGUCCGGAAUUACUGGGCGUAAAGAGCUCGUAGGUGGUUUGUCGCGUUGUUCGUGAAAUCUCACGGCUUAACUGUGAGCGUGCGGGCGAUACGGGCAGACUGGAGUACUGCAGGGGAGACUGGAAUUCCUGGUGUAGCGGUGAAAUGCGCAGAUAUCUGGAGGAACACCGGUGGCGAAGGCGGCAUCCUGGACCGGUAUUGACGCUGAGGCGCGAAAGCCAGGGGAGCAAAGCGGG